AUCCAAAUCGUCUAGUGGUUAGAGACUCCACACUGUGGAUGUGGCAACGCAGGUUCGAAUCCUGCUAUGGACA
rnacentral:tRNA from 1 species